rnacentral:rRNA from 1 species
UACGAGGGAUCCUAGCGUUGUUCGGAAUCAUUGGGCGUAAAGCGCACGUAGGCGGCUUGCCAAGUCGGACGUGAAAUCCCUCAGCUCAACUGAGGACGUGCAUCCGAAACUGGCGAGCUUGAGUGCUGAAGAGGAUCGCGGAAUUCCCGGUGUAGAGGUGAAAUUCGUAGAUAUCGGGAGGAACACCAGUGGCGAAGGCGGCGAUCUGGGCAGACACUGACGCUGAGGUGCGAAAGCGUGGGGAGCAAACAGG